GUGGUGGUAACUUGAAAACAGAAUGAGUUGUAGCGGCGGAGAACCCGAUCGGUCAGCUUUGGCCCGGAGUCGUAGCAUUGAUCACCAGCUCGAUGAAGAACGAGAAAGAAGACAGAAAGAGAUUCAACUACUGGUGCUAGGUGCUUCCGGUUCCGGGAAAAGUACCUUUAUCAAACAGAUGAGAAUCAGAUAUGGAGACGGCUUCCCUGAAAACGAACGCCACUAUUUCAAACCAUUUAUUUACGAGAACAUCACGCAUGCGCUGCACCAUGUCUUAGAUCAUAUGGCAUCUAUGAAGAUAGACUUUAAUGACCCAUCGAUGACUGAAACGGUGAGUGAGUUUGAGAAGAAAUAUCCACGAAUCAGGGCCUUGUUACUUCAUACAGUUGAGGAAGAUGGCACUCACUUCGACCACAACAAUACAAACUUAUUCCCCGCUCGACCACGACGUCUCUCGAACUUUUACUGUCAUUACGAGAAACCAGACAUUUUCUUAAUCCUGCAGGUUUGGCUAGACCCAGGCGUUCAAGAAUGUUACAAGAAUCUCAACGACCCCGACAAUGAAAUAUUCCUGCCCUAUUCUGAAGAAUACUUCCUCUCGAACAUUGAACGUAUCAUGCAACAGAACUACAUGCCGACUUUGGCUGAUAUUCUUCACAUUCGGAAAACUACAAUCGGUGUUCAAGAGUCUGUAUUCACGAUAAACAACUUAUCCUAUCGGUUUAUCGAUGUCGCUGGGCAAAAAAGUCAGCGUAAGAAGUGGAUCCCUUUCUUUGAAGGUGUCAGUGCCGUCAUAUUCUUUGCAGCUCUCAGUGCAUUUGAUGAGAUUCUUGAAGAAGAGCCUGCUAUGAACAGCAUGCAGGACAGUUUGCAAGCAUUCAGUGAUGUAGUCCAAAAUAGGUUUCUGGAAAAUAUGAACUUCAUACUUUUUCUAAAUAAAGAAGACCUUUUCAUCAGAAAAUUAAAAUUCACCAAGAUGUCUAAAAAUUUUCCUGACUACACAGGAGACAACAGUCCUGAACAGUGCCAGGAGUAUAUCAAGGACAAGUUUCUGGAGAAGAAACCCAACAAGAAGAACAUCUAUACACAUAUAACCUGUGCUGUCGAUGAGACAAAGAUGAGGAAUGUUCUGGAAAAUAUGCUCGAAAUGAUAGUUGAAUUCAACAUUCGAAAGUGUGGCACUUACUAAAGAAUUCUCAACUAAAUCACUCUCUCUCCCUCUCUCUCUCUCUCUCUCUCUCUCUCUCUCCUCUCUCUCUCGCUUAUUUGGAUCACCUGUAACAAUCUUCACCACUCUCACCACCCCGACACCAUCACCAACUACCACCUCCACAUCCACCACCAACACAACCACCACGACAACACCCAUCACAAUAUGCCGUGCUCCCACCCCCCACAAACAAAUCCCCCACCCCACCCUCACGAAUACCACCUCUACUAAUUCUCUCUUACUACUACCACUACCACUACUACUACUACACCUCCAACAUGGCCAUUUCUGCUGCUGCUCCUCCUCCUCCUCCUACUACUACUACAUGAACGCCACCAACAACAACAGCAACAAAUACAACUCAUACUACUGAUAAGAGUACUACGACAAAAUAC
rnacentral:misc_RNA from 1 species